GUCUGUCUGUGAUGAGACUAUGGAACCGACACACAUGAGGAUAUUCUUUUCCAUGUUGCCUUCCUUCUGAGAAUGAA
ensembl:snoRNA small nucleolar RNA U83B